AACGAACGCUGGCGGCGUGCCUAACACAUGCAAGUCGUGCGGGAAAGCAGGGGCAACUCUGCGAGUACAGCGGCGCACGGGUGAGUAACACGUAGGUAACCUACCUCCGAGACUGGGAUAACCUGUCGAAAGACGGGCUAAUACCGGAUAAGACCACAACGGCUGCGGUUGUUGGGUAAAGGUAGGCCUCUGCUUGCAAGCUACCACUUGGGGAUGGGCCUGCGCGCCAUUAGCUAGUUGGCGGGGUAACGGCCACCAAGGCAGAGAUGGCUAGCUGGUCUGAGAGGAUGGCCAGCCACACUGGGACUGAGA
rnacentral:rRNA from 1 species